rnacentral:rRNA from 1 species
CCUAGGGUUGUAAAGCACUUUCAAUUGGGAGGAAAACCUGCCGGUCAAUACCCGGUAGCUUGACAUUACCUUUAGAAGAAGCACCGGCUAACUCCGUGCCAGCAGCCGCGGUAAUACGGAGGGUGCGAGCGUUAAUCGGAAUUACUGGGCGUAAAGCGUGCGUAGGUGGUUCGUUAAGUCAGAUGUGAAAGCCCUGGGCUCAACCUGGGAACUGCAUUUGAAACUGGCGGACUAGAGUUUAGUAGAGGGGAGUGGAAUUUCAGGUGUAGCGGUGAAAUGCGUAGAUAUCUGAAGGAACACCAGUGGCGAAGGCGACUCCCUGGACUAAAGCUGACGCUGAGGUACGAAAGCGUGGGUAGCAAACAGGAUUAGAUACCCUGGUAGUCCACGCCGUAAACGAUGUCGACUAGCCGUUGGUCCUAUAUACAGGAUUAGUGGCGCAGCUAACGCAUUAAGUCGACCGCCUGGGGAGUACGGCCGCAAGGUUAAAACUCAAA